AACGAACGCUGGCGGCGUGCUUAACACAUGCAAGUCGAACGUGAAAGACUUCGGUCGAGUAAAGUGGCGAACGGGUGAGUAACGCGUGGGUAAUCUGCCCUCGGGCGGGGGAUAACCUCUCGAAAGGGGGGCUAAUACCGCAUGAGACCACGGCUUCUUGGAGCUGUGGGAAAAGGUGGGUCGCAAGACCAGCCACCUGAGGAUGAGCCCGCGUACCAUUAGGUAGUUGGUGGGGUAAUGGCCUACCAAGCCUGAGAUGGUUAGCUGGUCUGAGAGGACGAUCAGCCACACUGGGACUGAGACACGGCCCAGACUCCUACGGGAGGCAGCAGUGGGGAAUAUUGCGCAAUGGGGGGAAACCCUGACGCAGCAACGCCGCGUGUGUGAAGAAGGCCUCGGUCGUAAA
rnacentral:rRNA from 1 species